CGCCGCCACCUCCUCCACCUCCUCCACCACCAGUGGCGAUGAAUGUGUUGAUCAUGCUGUUGGUCAGUCUCGUGUUUUCGGUCGGUCUGGAGUACAUCGGUUCGGAGCGGAACAGACCCCCGGAUCCCGGAGCGGAGUUGGGAAAUAGGCAACUAUCUUGUUCGAAAGUGUCUAGUAGGGAAAGUGAGAAGCGUCGCAUUCGCCGAUUCCGUCGGCCAGCCCUCCGCGGCCAUGAGUGCCACCUCUCUCCACCAAUCAGAUUAUCCCUGGACCCGCUAUCCCCGAAACGCUGCUGGCUGGCUCUGGAGAAGGGCCGGGCUUUUACUGACAGCCACCCGAAUGCGCUAACUUUCCACACACUUCGUAUACAUAACUUGUCUCGCACGUGUAAAACAAUUUAUUUUGUUAUACAGGUAUUUUGUGACUUAUUUUUCUUAUUAUUAUUGUUGUUGUUGUUCAUGUUGUUUUUGUAAUCAUUGUUGUUAUUAUUAUGUGUUAGUAGAAUGAAUUGUGGUUGAUGCCGGUGAUGUAAGAACCGUACACUGUCAAGUGUUUGUAUUACUAACAAUAUUAAUAUUGUCCCUCUUUUGUGUUAUCUUUAAUAAAGUGCUGCCCUUUC